rnacentral:rRNA from 1 species
GUCUUUUUGAUUUUAUUUAAAGUCGGUUCUGCUCAAUGAAAUUUAAAUAGCUGCGGUAAAUUGACUGUACUAAGGUAGCAUAAUAAUUAGUUUAUUAAUUGUAAACUUGAAUGAAUGAGUUGAUGAAGAAUAACUGUCUUUUUUAUAUAUAGAAUUGAAUUUAAUUUAUGGGUAAAAAAGCCUAUUUAAGUUAAAGGGACAAGAAGACCCUAUAGAACUUUAUAAUUAGAUAAAAUGUGUUGAAUUUUGAUUAUUUAAUUGGGGUGAUUGGAAUAAAAAUUUAACUUUUAUUUUUUAUUACAUUGAUUUAUGGAUUAAUUGAACUAGUUUUUUAAUUAGAGAUAAGUUACCUUAGGGAUAACAGGAUAAUUUAUAUGGAGAGUUCUUAUUGAUAUUUAAGAUUAUUACCUCGAUGUUGAAUUAAGAUUGCCUUAGGAGUAGAAGUUUAAGGGUUAGGUCUGUUCGACCUUUAGAAUCUUACA